rnacentral:lncRNA from 13 species
CCGUAAACAGCUUGCAGGGGGGACAAUCUUCAUUGUUCACGGAGAAGCAAAUAUGACCGAGAUCAGAGUUGCAAGAGCCAAGCAAUUUGUCUUUGUUCCUGAAUCCACUCUGUGCCGCCCAGGGAGAGAUAGUAACACUGACUUCUGAACAGUGCUUUUCUCGGAUCCCCUCCGAGCAGUCUGAGGGCGAUGGAUCAGGGGUGCUGUGGGGGCUGAAACCUGCACUUGGCAGGAUGUCUGUGCAGUCGUGACAGCCUGGUGGAAAGCCUGGGAGCGUGGGGCAUCCUAAUCGUCCUGAGAACUCCGGGAGGAGGAUGCGCCGCCGUGUUCUACGCCGUCGGGACAGAGCUGGGACAUGCAGGCUGCGGGGAAUGAGCACACAGCAAAACACCAUGCGGCGCUGCCCAGGGACGAAUGUGAAGUUCUGCCUUUGGGUGCAGAGCAUGCAAGGCCUCCCUCAACAAAGCUCUCGUGGUGGAGACUUAGUCACCUCAUACAACUGCAAGACCGAAGGAGAAUUAGUCCCAGGAGAGGCUGCACGGGUGUUUGGUGGCCGAGGGGAGCCCUCCCUACUGCUCAGCCCAGCACCUGUGUGUGCUGCCUGCCAUCAACUCCUGGAGGAUGUCGCCAGCCCUGCAACCUGCAGGAGGGGCCACGCUUUCCAAGCCACAGCUCUGCUGAUGUAGGAAGACAUCAGCAAGGUCCACACCUGAGACGCUGCUAUGGUUCCACGGG